AGAAUCAACGCUGGCGGCGUGCCUCAGACAUGCAAGUCGAACGAUUAAGACUUCCUUCGGGAAGUGUAUAAAGUGGCGCACGGGUGAGUAACACGUAAGUAAUCUACCUUCGAGUGGGGAAUAACGUCCGGAAACGGACGCUAAUACCGCAUAAUGCAGCGGCAUCGUAAGAUGACAGUUGUUAAAGAUUUAUCGCUUGAAGAGGAGCUUGCGGCAGAUUAGCUAGUUGGUAAGGUAAUGGCUUACCAAGGCUACGAUCUGUAACCGGUCUAAGAGGACGGUCGGUCACACUGACACUGAAUAACGGGUCAGACUCCUACGGGAGGCAGCAGUCGGGAAUUUUGGGCAAUGGGCGAAAGCCUGACCCAGCAACGCCGCGUGAAGGAUGAAGUAUUUCGGUAUGUAAACUUCGAAAGAAUGGGAAGAAUAAAUGACGGCACCAUUUAUAAGCUCCGGCUAACUACGUGCCAGCAGCCGC
rnacentral:rRNA from 1 species